CUUCUCGUGGUGUAGUGGUAACGCGUCUGUCUAGUGAGUAGAAGUCGUUAGUUCGAGUCUCACAGAAAGGA
rnacentral:tRNA from 1 species